CUACGGGUUGCUCCAGUAGGGAAUAUUGCGCAAUGGGCGAAAGCCUGACGCAGCGACGCCGCGUGAGUGAUGAAGGUCCUCUGGAUUGUAAAGCUCUGUAAGGAGGGAAGAACCGCCUGGUGUAACGGCCAGGUCUGACGGUACCUCCAAAGUAAGCACCGGCUAAAUAAGUGCCAGCAGCCGCGGUAAUACUUAUGGUGCGAGCGUUGUCCGGAAUGACUGGGCGUAAAGGGUGCGUAGGCGGACUUUCAAGUCAGGUGUGAAAUCCCCGGGCUUAACCUGGGAACUGCGCUUGAAACUGGAAGUCUAGAUUAUGUGAGGGGUUAGCGGAAUUCCCGGAGUAGCGGUGAAAUGCGUAGAGAUCGGGAAGAACACCGGUGGCGAAGGCGGCUAACUGGCACAUGACUGACGCUGAGGCACGAAAGCGUGGGGAGCGAACGGGGUUAGAUACCCUAGUAGUC
rnacentral:rRNA from 1 species